CAGUACACACAUUCUAAAUUAAAUAUAAAUAAAAGUUAUUAUAGUCGGUCAGCUGUAUGACGGGACAGAGCUGGUCGGUCGGCCCCAGUGAAUGUACAUGGUUAUUUAUUCACUAUAUUUUGACCCCCUUGUAAACUGCUUUAUUUACAGAAUUAGAAAUAAAUGUAAAAUACAAAAGUUAUUCGAUUUUUAAAUUAUGAUUUUGAGACAUAUAAAUCGUACUAGUGACGUCAUCCAUUUGGGCGCGAUGACGUAAUCGACUAUUUUUUUUAAAUGGGAAUAGGGGUCGAGUGCUAGCUCAUUUGAAAGCUUAUUCAAUUCCCUAUUAGUAAUAUAAACAUUAACAUGAUUAAUUAAACAGGGUGUAAAAAAAAUUUAAUUAAAUUAAUUGUUUAAUUAAUAAUUGAAAAAAAAUUUUUGGACACCCUGUAUAAAUAAUGAUCAUAAUGUUUAUAUUACUGUAUAGAGAAUUGAAUAACCUUUCAAAUGAGCUAGCACUAGACCCCUAUUCCCAUUUAAAAAAUAGUAAUCACGUCCAGAUCGAUGACGUCAGUAGUACGAUAUAUAUGUCAAAAAUCAUAAUUAAAGAAUCGAAUAACUUUUGUAUGUUACAUUUUUUUCUAAUUCUGUAAAUAAAGCAGUUUACAAAGGGGUCAAAAUAUAGUGAAUAACCCUGUACAUUCAUUGGGGCCGACAGACUGGCUCUGUCCCGUCGUACAGCUGACCGACUAUAAUAACUUUUGUUUAUAUUUAAUUUAGAAUGUGUGUACUGAUUUUCAGCCUUAGUAAAUGGAUUUAAUUACCUUCGUAGGAAAGCAACUUUGAUACCCUCUUAGUAACCCCUGUUCUACGUUUCGCUUGACCGAACGCAGUAUGUUUCUCUACACAAUCACAAUAAUCAACUGUGAAAAAUUUAGCUUUAGUAAAUUCAAAGAAAUGUUUCAGCGCUGCCUCUCCGUCUAUAAGGGUCCAAUCAUAAGCUAUUACCAGCAAAGCUACUGAUACACAGACAGCACAGCCACAUGACGAAGAAAAUUAUGUCGAAAACUUCACAGGAGUGUGCAAACUAAAGACAGGAAAAAUAAUGGAUAUAAUGGAAUAAUCAUGGGCGAUUGCAAGAGUGGACAACAAUGCCACUGAAGCUGUGGCGCACAUGGGACCGUAUGGAGAAAUAAUUAAUUUACUCAAAAUGAUAGAAUUUAGAGUCAGUCAUGGACUCAUAAUAGCUCUGAACCCAUCGGAUGUCGGGUUCUACCUUUAUCCAUUUCUUUCAUAUCUGGAGUCAAGGUAUGAACAAGAAAUGCUGAUUUGUAGCUAAAGACUACAACACAAAGAGCCUAGUACAUUAUUUCGUCCAUACACAAGAACUUGCCCACAAAUUAAAUUAUGUGACAACUGGUAAUACACGCUCCCUAAUGGGGUCCAAUCAUAAGCUAUUAUAAGCAAAGCUACUGACUACACAGCCACAUGACGAAGAAAAUUAUGAUGAAAAAAUCACAACACUGGGCAAACGAAAGAAAGGAAGAAGAGUUAUUUAUUUAUUUAUCGUUAUUUAAGUGCACCAAACCAAAAAUGGAAUAAUCAUGGUCGAUUGCAAGAGUGGACAACAAUGCCUCUGAAGGUGUACUGUACCGGGUGUCCCAAUACGAAUGGCUCUCGGCCAUAUCUCAGAAACCGUUUAUAGUAUAGCUUUGAGAAAAAAAUAUUUAUAACAAAAGUUGCCUCGGGAACAGCCUGGAAAUUAUUUUCAUAAUUGUAGGUCCACCGCCAGAGGGCGUAAUUGAAUAUCAAAAAUCAAGAUUUUACAAAAUUUACCUAAUGAAAGGGCACUGGAAAUCCAAUCAUUGUAUUUUUCAUAAAAUUCUACGCAUAUUUGAUUUCACAAAUUUCAGUCUACCUUUGCAAAUAAGAGGUGGGGGUGAGUGGGAACCUUCUUAUGAAAAAAUGGCUGUAAGUCCGGCUCUGCUAAAUAGAAUUUUGCAUACUUGGUCUUGUUGAAAACAGCUCUUUUUCGUCAAUGUGUUUUAUUUUCGAAAUAGCCUAAAGUAAUAUGCAAGCUAGGAGGCGUUAUUUCAUUAUUUUCAGAAAUCUAGUUUUCUUUGGAAAAUAUUAAAGUAUGCAUGUUUGAUCCUGUAUUACAAAAUUAGACCAAAUUAGCAACAUAAUACCGAAAACCGCAUGUCGAUACCUUUUUUCUAUCUCGAGAUAUCUUAAGAAAUGUGUUAAUUUUAAACAUAACUGUUACUGUCACCGGUAAAUGAGGUUAAGGAAAAGUAGUGUGCUGUGGAAAAAACAAAUAAACAUUUUCCAGAUGUAAACGUAUAUAAUUAAUUAAAACGACAAUAAGACAAACAACACUAUAAAAUAUAACAAAGAAAUAAAUGCAACUAUGUACUUACUUAGUCUUAGUGACUGCCUAAAUGUUCAAAUUGUUGCCCAUCAUUUUCGAUGCAAGCAUUUACUCUUUCAAGAAUAGAUUGAAUAGCAACAGCUUUAACUGUUUUAGACUUUUAUUUAUGGGGACGGAUUAAAGACCUUGUUUUUGCCGCUAGGCCCACUACGCGAGAAAACAUGAUCUAGAAUCUAGAGAAUACGAAUACGAAACGCCAUUCAAAGCAUUGCGAAAGCAGAAAUUGAGACUGCUGUUCAAUCUACUCUUUAAAGAGUAAAUGCUUGAAUCGAAAAUGAUGAGCAACAAUUUGAACAUUAGGUCGUCACUAAGUAUGUAGUUACUUUUAUUUCUUUGUUAUAUUUUAUAGUGUUAUUUGUCUUAUUGUUGUUUUAAUUAAUUAUAUACGUUUACAUCUGGAAAAUGUUUCUUUGUUUUUCCAUAGCACACUACUUUUCCUUAACUUCGUUUACCAGUGACAUUAACAGUUGUUUAAAAUUUACACGUUUCUUAAGAUAUCUCGAGAUAGAAAAAAGAUAUCGACAUGCGGUUUUCGGUAUUAUGUUGCUAAUUUGGUCUAAUUUUGUCAAAAAGGAUUAAAAAUGCAUACUUGUAUUUAAUAUUCUCCAAAGAAAACUAGAUUUCCGAAAAUAAAUAAAUAACGCCUAGUAGCUGGCAUAUUACUGAUUAGGCUAUUUCGAAAAUAAGACUCUUACCUUGACAAAAAAGAGCUGUUUUCAACAAGACCAAGUAUGCAAAAUUCGAUUUAGCAGAACCGGACUUACAGCCAUUUUUUCAUAAGAAGGUUACCACUCACCCCACCUCUUAUUUGCAAAGGUAGACUUAAACUUGUGAAAUCAAAUAUGCGCAGAAUUUUAUGAAGAAUACGAUGAUUGGAUUUCCAGUGCCCUUUCAUUAGGUAAAUUUUGGAAAAAUUUUAUUUUUUAAUUUUUGAUAUUCAAUUACGCCCUCUGGCGGUGGACCUACAAUUAUGAAAAUAAUUUCCAGGCUUUUCCCGAGGCAACUUCUGUUAUAAAUAUUUUUUUCUCAAAGCUGUACUAUAAACAAUUCCUGAGAUAUGGCCGGGAGUCAUUCUUAUUGGGACACCCGGUACAUGGAACCGUAUGGAGAAGUAUCUAAUGGACUCAUAAUAAUAUAAUUUUGAGUCCGUUAUGGACUCAUAAUAGCUCUGAACCCGUCGGAUGUCCGGUUCGACCUUUAUCCAUUUCUUCCAUGCGGUUCUAUUGGUGGUCAGAAUAUCUGGUGGUCAGAGUCAAGAUAUGAACAAGAAAUGCUGAUUUGUAGCUAAAGACUACAAUGCAAAGAGCCUAGUACAUUAUUUCGUCCAUACACAAUUAAGUUCAUAAUUGCACCACAUCCUGGCAAGAUACAUCAUAAUAAUAAUAUAUACCUCGUCCAAUUUACUUACCGUUGCACGUCAUCCGCGCCAUAGCCUGUAACACGAUACCAACAUGAAAUAUUUAGGCGGUGGGUGUGUUCUUUUUUAGAAUCAAAAUGAUUCUAAAGGGAAACACACCUACCGCCUAGAUAUUUCGUGUUGAUAUCGUGUCACAGGCUAUGGCGCGGAUGACGUGCAACGGUAAGUAAAUUGGACGAGGUAUAUGUGCCUCCAACUAACAAUUUAAAUGGAAGAAGAGUGAAACAGGUAGUAAAGAAAGCCAAAAGAGAGAGUUAAAAAGAAUUUGAAAAGGAAAUAUGGAAAUGAAAAUAAAUUGAGAGACAGAAGAAGGAGAAGAAAAGAAGAAGAGGCUUUUCGUAGAGCUAACUGAUCUGUGAGGAAAUCUGGUCCAAAUCUUCUAAAUAAAUUUCAAGAAACAGCUACCAGCAAAACAAUGGAGACUGGAUCAAAGGCUAGGCAAAAGUCGGCUUUAAUAAGAGAAGCAGAAGUCUUCUCAGUUCUCCGUAGUUUGACACUUGGGCUGUAUAAUUCCAAGAUAAACAAGAAGUAGGUAAUCCCACCAAGAACGUCCACUCUAGACCAUAAACCAGAAAAAAGUGUACAUAAAUAUAUUGUAUGAUAUUAUACUGUAUACAGUUUGUAAAAUUAGAGGUUUCAUAAUAAAUCCUUAAAUUAA